GGGUGAAAUCCUGGAGCUCAACUCCAGAACUGCCUUUGAUACUGAAGAUCUUGAGUUCGGGAGAGGUGAGUGGAACUGCGAGUGUAGAGGUGAAAUUCUGUAUAUAUUCGCAAGAACACCAGUGGCGAAGGCGGCUCACUGGCCCGAUACUGACGCUGAGGCACGAAAGCGUGGGGAGCAAACAGGAUUAUAUACCCUGGUAGUCCACGCCCGUAAACGAUGAAUGCCCCCGGUUAGUGGGUUUACUCACUAGUGGCGCAGCUAACGCU
rnacentral:rRNA from 1 species